GAAAUUGUUCAAGUUUUAUAGAUUGUGAAGGAGAUAAACAUUGUCAAAGAUCACUUGAAUCGAAUCCUGAACAAUGCAUAAUCGGAGAUGAUCAAAGUGAAUUUUUUUUCAUGAAAAUAGAAUUGGCCACACAGUAUCAAACCCAUCAUAGCAAAUGAUAAAUUCACUCCGACGAAGGGACGUCCCCGACGAAGACAGAGAGAGAGAGAGAGAGAGAGAGAGAGAGAGAAUGUGGUGGUUCAGCACUGUAACAGGUCCUCGGAUUUCAAUUUUGUAUAGCUUGCCUUCCAUGGUUCUAGGCAAAAUCAGAAGGUAUUGGGCAAAACUUUCCCUUGGCGUUGGUGCAGAACCACUGCAGAACACUCUCCAAGUUCACUGGUAAACAGGUAUUGUUCCACAUUGCUGCUGCCCAAGGAGAAACAGUCAUUCAUAAUGACCCCCCAUUUCCUCAAAUCUGUCUUUGGUCAUUCAAGGAUUGACCUAGAUUUUGCACCACCCUUCAAAGCUGAGUUGUAACUUGUAUCCUCUAAAGCUACGUGUAUCUAGGAAGUUGUGAAGUUUUAGUUUUUAUCAGUGGCAUAGAGCUACCGGUAAGUUUUUUCUCUUGAAUUCUUCCAUCCUCUUUGGCCAUUGCCUAUAUUGAGCCUAAGGACAAUGGGGUUCUUCGUACGUAAAGGGAUUCUGACUGUUUUUUUUUUUCCUUGUAAUUUCUGCUAUAGUUUCCAUUGCUUGGCUCGUUUUGCUUUUGCUCUGGAACUUGUGCUCGGAAAUUCAAUUAACCUUUGCAUUAUAGAUACUCAGCAUCUAAAAGCAUUAACUUGACUACCACAACCUAUAAAUUACUUUAUGUUUAUGCCCAUUCUCAUUUACUGUCCAUUUGGCAAAAUCGGUGAGUAAAGAGAAAAGAACAAUAGAAUGUGAAGGAUAAUGAUAUCUUUCUGGUGAUUAAGGAUGAGAGUGUCCCUAAUUAUUUCUCAGGUAAUUCAUGAGAAAAAAGGAAGAGUAAGAAAUGUAGUCCUCGAUGUCCUCUUCUUCGGAAAACACAUUUUGGAACUAUGAUUUUGCUUAAAAUUGAUGACUUGACUGUGCCGCCAUGGCAAUCGGCGACCCUAUAUCCAACUUGAAAUCGCAGCUGGGUGAAAUCCCUGGGUCCAACCUCUUUUUUCACAUAAUGCAUGAACUGAAAGAAAAGGGAAAACCAUGAAUUAUAAGAUCAGCAUUCUGUUGGGGGUUUGUGUGGGUUUUUUUCUUGUUGCUUGUAUGGGGGAGAUUUAGGAUUUUGCUUGUAGCUAUGUUCAAUUUCUUCUUAGGUUAGCUGAGCAUUGCUUGAGAACAUGAGUAGUAACUUCUUCGUCUUGACUGGGUUUGUGGAAGAAAAGGAAAAACCAUGAAUUAUAGUAUCAGCUUUCUAUGGGGGGUUUGUGUGUUUUUUUUCUUUGGGUGUGUGCGUGUGUGCCAAUAUUUUGGCUGACUCUCUAGUAGUCUCCCUUGAUGCCAGCUAAGUUGGUUUGAGUGAGUGCGGAAAACAACUUUCAAAACUCUGAUAUUUUAUGGUGCAUGGGUCAUUUUACGGUUGAAGCUAUGCUCAUGGAAAUAUUCCAAAUUGGGAAACAUUGUAAACAGUUUUCUAGCCUGGGAAGAGGCAUUUUGAUUCUCCUGCCCCACCUCUUUGUUUUGAAAUUGAUUGGUUUUAAUUUGACUGAAAUAUUGCAGGUAGAAUUCCUGUCGUUGAAACAUUUGGUGUUUUGGUUCUUCCCAUCCAAAGAGGAUUCAUGUAUUUAUUUGUUUUUAUUUUUUUAGGUUUGGAAUAUGUCUUUCGUGCGGUCUUUCUCAGAAGCUGUCACGUAUUAUAGGACCCAACAGAGCUCUUGAGGUGUUUUUAACAGCCUUAGCCCUUAACUGCAGGACAAGCUGAGAGAGGUUUGGUGAAUCAUCCUGUUGAUGAAAGUGAAUUGCUGAAGAAAGCCCGGAAGUUGCAGCACCUAUCUUGAAAAAUGAUCAAGACUUAAGUUUUCAGUUAUAAGUCGGCUAUCAAUAAUGGCCUCAAGCUGGACCUGGGUCACGCUCUUGCACUGGAAAGGUAGUUUAGUCUCAUUACAGUGUUUUUCGAACUAAAACCUGUUAGUGUUUCAUGGAUUUUGAUUCUAAUCAAAUCUCACAGCUUGGUAUUCAUAUUUAGAAGGUCCCCUAUAGCUUGUUCAAUGACUUUCUUUUUACCUUUAGUAAUGGAACAAUUGUUUCCCACAUUUUGGAUCCGCUACUUCUUACUUUCAGUUCCUUCACAGAAAAACAGGAGCACAGAGGCAUCCCC